GCAAGUCGAGGGGUAACGAAAGUAGCUUGCUACUAGGCGACGACCGGCGCACGGGUGAGUAACACGUAUGCAACCUACCUUUUACAGAGGGAUAGCCCAGAGAAAUUUGGAUUAAUACCUCAUAGUAUUUUAAAAUCGCAUGAUUUAAAAAUUAAAACUCCGGUGGUAAAAGAUGGGCAUGCGUUCUAUUAGUUAGUUGGUGAGGUAACGGCUCACCAAGACGAUGAUGCUUAGGGGGUCUGAGAGGAUAGUC
rnacentral:rRNA from 1 species